AGUGAACGCUGGCGGUAGGCCUAGCACAUGCAAGUCGAACGGCAGCACAGUAAGAGCUUGCUCUUACGGGUGGCGAGUGGCGGACGGGUGAGGAAUACAUCGGAAUCUACUUUUUCGUGGGGGAUAACGUAGGGAAACUUACGCUAAUACCGCAUACGACCUACGGGUGAAAGCAGGGGAUCUUCGGACCUUGCGCGAUUGAAUGAGCCGAUGUCGGAUUAGCUAGUUGGCGGGGUAAAGGCCCACCAAGGCGACGAUCCGUAGCUGGUCUGAGAGGAUGAUCAGCCACACUGGAACUGAGACACGGUCCAGACUCCUACGGGAGGCAGCAGUGGGGAAUAUUGGGCAAAGGGCGCAAGCCUGAUCCAGCCAUACCGCGUGGGUGAAGAAGGCCUUCGGGUUGUAAAGCCCUUUUGUUGGGAAAGAAAAGCAGCAGGUUAAUACCCCGCUGUUCUGACGGUACCCAAAGAAUAAGCACCGGCUAACUUCGUG
rnacentral:rRNA from 1 species